AUGAACGCUAGCGACAGGCCUAACACAUGCAAGUCGAGGGGCAGCACAAGGAGCAAUCUGAGGUGGCGACCGGCGCACGGGUGAGUAACACGUAUGCAACCUGCCUGUAAGCGGGGAAUAACCCGUUGAAAGACGGACUAAUACCGCAUAAUACUAAAUUACUGCAUGGUAAUUUAUUUAAACAUUUAUGGCUUACAGAUGGGCAUGCGCAUGAUUAGCUAGUUGGAGAGGUAACGGCUCCCCAAGGCAACGAUCAUUAGGGGUUCUGAGAGGAAGGUCCCCCACACUGGUACUGAGACACGGACCAGACUCCUACGGGAGGCAGCAGUGAGGAAUAUUGGUCAAUGGACGAGAGUCUGAACCAGCCAAGUCGCGUGCAGGAAGAAUGUCCUAUGGAUUGUAAACUGCUUUUGCAGGGGAAUAAAGUGCAUCACGUGUGAUGUUUUGUAUGUACUCUGCGAAUAAGGAUCGGCUAACUACGUGCCAGCCGCCGC
rnacentral:rRNA from 1 species